ACUAAGCGUACACGGUGGAUGCCCUGGCAGUCAGAGGCGAUGAAGGACGUGCUAAUCUGCGAUAAGCGUCGGUAAGGUGAUAUGAACCGUUAUAACCGGCGAUUUCCGAAUGGGGAAACCCAGUGUGUUUCGACACACUAUCAUUAACUGAAUCCAUAGGUUAAUGAGGCGAACCGGGGGAACUGAAACAUCUAAGUACCCCGAGGAAAAGAAAUCAACCGAGAUUCCCCCAGUAGCGGCGAGCGAACGGGGAGCAGCCCAGAGCCUGAAUCAGUGUGUGUGUUAGUGGAAGCGUCUGGAAAGGCGCGCGAUACAGGGUGACAGCCCCGUACACAAAAAUGCACAUGCUGUGAGCUCGAUGAGUAGGGCGGGACACGUGGUAUCCUGUCUGAAUAUGGGGGGACCAUCCUCCAAGGCUAAAUACUCCUGACUGACCGAUAGUGAACCAGUACCGUGAGGGAAAGGCGAAAAGAACCCCGGCGAGGGGAGUGAAAAAGAACCUGAAACCGUGUACGUACAAGCAGUGGGAGCCUCUUUAUGGGGUGACUGCGUACCUUUUGUAUAAUGGGUCAGCGACUUAUAUUCUGUAGCAAGGUUAACCGAAUAGGGGAGCCGAAGGGAAACCGAGUCUUAACUGGGCGUUAAGUUGCAGGGUAUAGACCCGAAACCCGGUGAUCUAGCCAUGGGCAGGUUGAAGGUUGGGUAACACUAACUGGAGGACCGAACCGACUAAUGUUGAAAAAUUAGCGGAUGACUUGUGGCUGGGGGUGAAAGGCCAAUCAAACCGGGAGAUAGCUGGUUCUCCCCGAAAGCUAUUUAGGUAGCGCCUCGUGAAUUCAUCUCCGGGGGUAGAGCACUGUUUCGGCAAGGGGGUCAUCCCGACUUACCAACCCGAUGCAAACUGCGAAUACCGGAGAAUGUUAUCACGGGAGACACACGGCGGGUGCUAACGUCCGUCGUGAAGAGGGAAACAACCCAGACCGCCAGCUAAGGUCCCAAAGUCAUGGUUAAGUGGGAAACGAUGUGGGAAGGCCCAGACAGCCAGGAUGUUGGCUUAGAAGCAGCCAUCAUUUAAAGAAAGCGUAAUAGCUCACUGGUCGAGUCGGCCUGCGCGGAAGAUGUAACGGGGCUAAACCAUGCACCGAAGCUGCGGCAGCGACGCUUAUGCGUUGUUGGGUAGGGGAGCGUUCUGUAAGCCUGUGAAGGUGUGCUGUGAGGCAUGCUGGAGGUAUCAGAAGUGCGAAUGCUGACAUAAGUAACGAUAAAGCGGGUGAAAAGCCCGCUCGCCGGAAGACCAAGGGUUCCUGUCCAACGUUAAUCGGGGCAGGGUGAGUCGACCCCUAAGGCGAGGCCGAAAGGCGUAGUCGAUGGGAAACAGGUUAAUAUUCCUGUACUUGGUGUUACUGCGAAGGGGGGACGGAGAAGGCUAUGUUGGCCGGGCGACGGUUGUCCCGGUUUAAGCGUGUAGGCUGGUUUUCCAGGCAAAUCCGGAAAAUCAAGGCUGAGGCGUGAUGACGAGGCACUACGGUGCUGAAGCAACAAAUGCCCUGCUUCCAGGAAAAGCCUCUAAGCAUCAGGUAACAUCAAAUCGUACCCCAAACCGACACAGGUGGUCAGGUAGAGAAUACCAAGGCGCUUGAGAGAACUCGGGUGAAGGAACUAGGCAAAAUGGUGCCGUAACUUCGGGAGAAGGCACGCUGAUAUGUAGGUGAGGUCCCUCGCGGAUGGAGCUGAAAUCAGUCGAAGAUACCAGCUGGCUGCAACUGUUUAUUAAAAACACAGCACUGUGCAAACACGAAAGUGGACGUAUACGGUGUGACGCCUGCCCGGUGCCGGAAGGUUAAUUGAUGGGGUUAGCGGUAACGCGAAGCUCUUGAUCGAAGCCCCGGUAAACGGCGGCCGUAACUAUAACGGUCCUAAGGUAGCGAAAUUCCUUGUCGGGUAAGUUCCGACCUGCACGAAUGGCGUAAUGAUGGCCAGGCUGUCUCCACCCGAGACUCAGUGAAAUUGAACUCGCUGUGAAGAUGCAGUGUACCCGCGGCAAGACGGAAAGACCCCGUGAACCUUUACUAUAGCUUGACACUGAACAUUGAGCCUUGAUGUGUAGGAUAGGUGGGAGGCUUUGAAGUGUGGACGCCAGUCUGCAUGGAGCCGACCUUGAAAUACCACCCUUUAAUGUUUGAUGUUCUAACGUUGACCCGUAAUCCGGGUUGCGGACAGUGUCUGGUGGGUAGUUUGACUGGGGCGGUCUCCUCCUAAAGAGUAACGGAGGAGCACGAAGGUUGGCUAAUCCUGGUCGGACAUCAGGAGGUUAGUGCAAUGGCAUAAGCCAGCUUGACUGCGAGCGUGACGGCGCGAGCAGGUGCGAAAGCAGGUCAUAGUGAUCCGGUGGUUCUGAAUGGAAGGGCCAUCGCUCAACGGAUAAAAGGUACUCCGGGGAUAACAGGCUGAUACCGCCCAAGAGUUCAUAUCGACGGCGGUGUUUGGCACCUCGAUGUCGGCUCAUCACAUCCUGGGGCUGAAGUAGGUCCCAAGGGUAUGGCUGUUCGCCAUUUAAAGUGGUACGCGAGCUGGGUUUAGAACGUCGUGAGACAGUUCGGUCCCUAUCUGCCGUGGGCGCUGGAGAACUGAGGGGGGCUGCUCCUAGUACGAGAGGACCGGAGUGGACGCAUCACUGGUGUUCGGGUUGUCAUGCCAAUGGCACUGCCCGGUAGCUAAAUGCGGAAGAGAUAAGUGCUGAAAGCAUCUAAGCACGAAACUUGCCCCGAGAUGAGUUCUCCCUGACCCUUUAAGGGUCCUGAAGGAACGUUGAAGACGACGACGUUGAUAGGCCGGGUGUGUAAGCGCAGCGAUGCGUUGAGCUAACCGGUACUAAUGAACCGUGAGGCUUAACC
rnacentral:rRNA from 1 species